CCCCUACUGCUUUCCCAAGCUAGAAGCAGAGAGCUGGAUCAGAAGUGGAGCAGCUGGGGCAUGAACUGGUGCGUAUAUGGCAUGCACAGGACUGAAGGUAACACUGUAUCCUCUGAAUUGUUUUAUGAGAGACAGUCAUUCCUAGCCCAAGAUUUGGUAAGUAAUGUACGUGUUAAUGCACAGUUGACUUUUGGCAGUGGUGAGGAGACUUUGUAGCGUGGGAUGUGGAAAUCUGAGUUGAAUGAGUUAAAACUUCUACUUAGUUUUCUGUUCAAUCCUACGUGUACCAAGCAGGUUUAUUGUUCAUCAAAUUUAAAAGUUGAUUAAAACUGACUUGUUAAACUUUAUGUUGAAAUUUUGUUUUAGGAGAAACCAUUUCUGGUAAGAAAAUUGUUUUAUGCUAUUAAUGGAGUAAACCUGUGACAGAGACUUUAGGUAUGUGAGAAGAAAGAGUGUGACGUAUGGUGCCAGCAUUCUGGCUGCUCUGCCUUUGAUCCAGCACCUUGAUAAAGGCCUGGGGAAAGCGGCAGAUGGUGGCCCAGGCGUUGGGCCCUUAGAAUCUACAAAAGAUAGCUAUAAGAAUGAUCUGGCUUUUGAUUUCAGCUU